rnacentral:rRNA from 1 species
AUUGAACGCUGGCGGCGGGCCUAACACAUGCAAGUCGAGCGGAGCGGCGGACGGGUGAGUAAAGCCUAGGAAUCUGCCUGGCAGUGGGGGAUAACGACAGGAAACGGGCGCUAAUACCGCACACUAUAAGAUGAGCCUAGGUCGGAUUAGCUAGUUGGUGGGGUAAAGUCCUACCAAGGCGGCGAUCCGUAACUGGUCUGAGAGGAUGAUCAGUCACCGUGGAACUGGGACGCGGUCCAGCCUCGGACGGGAGGCAGCAGUGAGGAUUAUUGGCGAGUGGGCGAAAGCCUGAUCCAGCCAAGCGGCGUGUGUGAGGAAGUUCUUCGGAUGGUAAAGCACGUUAAGUUGGGAAGCGUUACCUACAGAAUAAGCACCGGCUAACUUCGUGCCAGCAGCCGCGGUAAUUC